UUUGAAUCCUCCUGUUGCCAUGAUCCCUUUUUUUGAUGAUUUAGUUUAAAUUAGCGUAAAAUAUGAAUGGAGUUUGGCUCUCUGCUCUUAGUCCUACUUGCACCGCAUUCCUUGAGUUAUUAACCAGGUUGCUGUUGACAGGUCCGACCAGGUGAGCACCGCGGUCUCUCUCAGAUGAAUGGCGCUCGUUCUGGAGCGCUGAGAGCCGCUCGCUGCUGCUGCUGCUCGGCGCUCUGCCCUCUGGCACACAACCGAGCGACUCCGACAACACCCGAACAUUCCCGAGUGGAGCCGAAGCAGCUGUGGAGCUCAGCCCCAGAAUAAAGUCACUGUAAUGAUCUUUUAAUAUUCACAAAAGGGGCUUGUAGUUUUGCCUAAGGUGAUUUAAAGUACUUUAUUUUUUUAUACUUUAUUUUUUGUUGUUUUAUAAUAAAAAACAAACAAACAAACAAUACAGACAACAUAAGACAGACAGGGUCAUCCUGAGUGAGGUGAAAUGCUUAAAGG